rnacentral:rRNA from 1 species
GUCCCAAGGGUAUGGCUGUUCGCCAUUUAAAGUGGUACGUGAGCUGGGUUUAAAACGUCGUGAGACAGUUUGGUCCCUAUCUGCCGUGGGCGUUGGAAAUUUGAAGGGGGCUGCUCCUAGUACGAGAGGACCAGAGUGGACGAACCUCUGGUGUACCGGUUGUCACGCCAGUGGCAUUGCCGGGUAGCUAAGUUCGGAAGGGAUAACCGCUGAAAGCAUCUAAGCGGGAAACUUGCCUUGAGAUGAGAUUUCCCGGAGCCUUGAGCUCCUUGAAGGGUCGUUCGAGACCAGGACGUUGAUAGGCUGGGUGUGGAAGUGCAGUAAUGCAUUAAGCUAACCAGUACUAAUUGCCCGUACGGCUUGUCCCUAUAACCUU